UACGGAGGGUGCAAGCGUUAUCCGGAUUCACUGGGUUUAAAGGGUGCGUAGGUGGGCAAGUAAGUCAGUGGUGAAAUCUCCGGGCUUAACCCGGAAACUGCCAUUGAUACUAUUUGUCUUGAAUACUGUGGAGGUCAGCGGAAUAUGUCAUGUAGCGGUGAAAUGCUUAGAUAUGACAUAGAACACCAAUUGCGAAGGCAGCUGGCUACACAAAUAUUGACACUGAGGCACGAAAGCGUGGGGAUCAAACAGG
rnacentral:ncRNA from 4 species